rnacentral:lncRNA from 1 species
UGUGAAGAAUCAACAACAAGUGGGACACAAUCAUGAAGUGGAACGACAUUUAUUGGAUAUUUCAAACUUUUUUAACAAAACAAAAACUGAAAAAUUGGGCGUGCAAAAUUAUUCAGCCCCCUUAAUAGAACCCCUGCUGAGUUGUUAAAGCCCAUUAGCCUACAUGCAAUCUUGUUGUGGCUUACCAAAUCAAGAGAAUGCUUCUGAGAGUGGCUCUAACUCUAUCCACAGGAACAGACACCAGCAGUGAAAUCCACACAAACUACUACACCAACAAUCACCUAUAUGGCGACAUGGAGUUUAUGUUCUUACUGGGACACUCUGCUUCUCAUUGAACUGCUGUGUGGGGAAAAACAAACAUCUAUUGUUAUCAAAAAUCAACUUCAUGAAUCAACUUCAAGUACUCAAAGAAUGUAAAUGUCAAGCAGAGGUAAUUAUUAGUCACCAAUGAGCUGCUAUCUCCACUUGUCUACCUCUUCUUAGCUCGUGGUGGCCUCUGUAAAUCACCACGUCUCCUGUUGAUUUGUAGAAGUUAUUACAUCAUAUGUUUAUGUUAAAUAUGAAUGAUGAGCAAGAGGAGUAGAGGACUAAAAUGUGAACAAACCCAGUGCACACCAGUUCUGUUUAAAUGGCCUAAUCUGUAUUUACGUCCAUGACAAUUUUUUGUAGACUUGGAACACAAUAAAUC